rnacentral:rRNA from 1 species
AGUGAACGCUGGCGGUAGGCCUAACACAUGCAAGUCGAACGGCAGCACAGUAAGAGCUUGCUCUUACGGGUGGCGAGUGGCGGACGGGUGAGGAAUACGUCGGAAUCUACUUUUUCGUGGGGGAUAACGUAGGGAAACUUACGCUAAUACCGCAUACGACCUACGGGUGAAAGCAGGGGAUCUUCGGACCUUGCGCGAUUGAAUGAGCCGAUGUCGGAUUAGCUAGUUGGCGGGGUAAAGGCCCACCAAGGCGACGAUCCGUAGCUGGUCUGAGAGGAUGAUCAGCCACACUGGAACUGAGACACGGUCCAGACUCCUACGGGAGGCAGCAGUGGGGAAUAUUGGACAAUGGGCGCAAGCCUGAUCCAGCCAUACCGCGUGGGUGAAGAAGGCCUUCGGGUUGUAAAGCCCUUUUGUUGGGAAAGAAAAGCAGCAGGUUAAUACCCCGCUGUUCUGACGGUACCCAAAGAAUAAGCGCCGGCUAACUUCGUG